CCUCACCUGGGGAAUCAGGACUCUGAGUCCAGCUUCUCAACAUGAGGCUCCCUGCUCAGCUCCUGGGGCUGCUGAUGCUCUGCCUGCCUGGAUCCACGGGAGAAGUUGUGGUGACCCAGACCCCACUCUCUCUGUCCAUCGCCCCUGGAGAGCCAGCCUCCAUCUCCUGCAAGGCCACUCAGAGCCUCCUGCAUAGUGAUGGAAAAACUAACUUGAACUGGGUUGUGCAUAAAUCAGGCCAGGCUCCACGACGCAUGAUUUAUCAGGUUUCCAAUCGAGACUCUUGGGUCUCUGACAGGUUCAGUGGCACUGGGUCAGGCACAGAUUUCUCUCUCAAAAUUAGCAGGGUGGAAGCUGAGGAUGCUGGAGUUUAUUACUGUUAGCAAGGUACACAUGUUCCUCACACAGUGCUACAGCCCUGAACAAAAACCUCCCUGCCUGGGGAGGCUCAGCUGCCCUCCUGCACUGCUGUCUGGGGAGCAGCACAGCACACAGCCUGCUCUCUGUGAGAGGAAGAGCUUGAAGAAGCAGAACAACAAGAAGCAGCUGAGGCCUCUGCCUGGCACUGAGAGU